rnacentral:rRNA from 1 species
CCUACGGGAGGCAGCAGUGAGGAAUAUUGGUCAAUGGCCGUAAGGCUGAACCAGCCAAGUAGCGUGAGGGAAGACUGCCCUAUGGGUUGUAAACCUCUUUUAUGCGGGGAUAAAGGUGUCCACGUGUGGAUGUUUGCAGGUACCGCAUGAAUAAGGACCGGCUAAUUCCGUGCCAGCAGCCGCGGUAAUACGGAAGGUCCGGGCGUUAUCCGGAUUUAUUGGGUUUAAAGGGAGCGUAGGCGGGAUUUAAAGGCUGCGGUAAAAUUUGGUGGCUCAACCGGGCAGUGCCGUGGCAACUGGAGUCCUUGAGUGCGCGGAAGGCAGGCGGAAUGCGUGGUGUAGCGGUGAAAUGCUUAGAUAUCACGAAGAACCCCGAUUGCGAAGGCAGCCUGCCGGGGCGUUACUGACGCUGAAGCUCGAAAGCGCGGGUAUCGAACAGGAUUAGAUACCCUAGUAGUC